rnacentral:rRNA from 1 species
GAUCAUGGCUCAGGAUGAACGCUAGCUACAGGCUUAACACAUGCAAGUCGAGGGGAAACGACAUCGAAAGCUUGCUUUUUGAUGGGCGUCGACCGGCGCACUGGUGAGUAACGCGUAUCCAACCUGCCCACCACUUGGGGGAUAACCUUGCGAAAGUAAGACUAAUACCCAAUGAUAUCUCUAGAAGACAUCUGAAAGGGAUUAAAGAUUUAUCGGUGAUGGAUGGGGAUGCGU